UUAAGCGACUAAGCGUACACGGUGGAUGCCCUGGCAGUCAGAGGCGAUGAAGGACGUGCUAAUCUGCGAUAAGCGUCGGUAAGGUGAUAUGAACCGUUAUAACCGGCGAUUUCCGAAUGGGGAAACCCAGUGUGAUUCGUCACACUAUCAUUAACUGAAUCCAUAGGUUAAUGAGGCGAACCGGGGGAACUGAAACAUCUAAGUACCCCGAGGAAAAGAAAUCAACCGAGAUUCCCCCAGUAGCGGCGAGCGAACGGGGAGGAGCCCAGAGCCUGAAUCAGUGUGUGUGUUAGUGGAAGCGUCUGGAAAGGCGCGCGAUACAGGGUGACAGCCCCGUACACAAAAAUGCACAUGCUGUGAGCUCGAUGAGUAGGGCGGGACACGUGGUAUCCUGUCUGAAUAUGGGGGGACCAUCCUCCAAGGCUAAAUACUCCUGACUGACCGAUAGUGAACCAGUACCGUGAGGGAAAGGCGAAAAGAACCCCGGCGAGGGGAGUGAAAAAGAACCUGAAACCGUGUACGUACAAGCAGUGGGAGCACGCUUCGGCGUGUGACUGCGUACCUUUUGUAUAAUGGGUCAGCGACUUAUAUUCUGUAGCAAGGUUAACCGAAUAGGGGAGCCGAAGGGAAACCGAGUCUUAACUGGGCGUUAAGUUGCAGGGUAUAGACCCGAAACCCGGUGAUCUAGCCAUGGGCAGGUUGAAGGUUGGGUAACACUAACUGGAGGACCGAACCGACUAAUGUUGAAAAAUUAGCGGAUGACUUGUGGCUGGGGGUGAAAGGCCAAUCAAACCGGGAGAUAGCUGGUUCUCCCCGAAAGCUAUUUAGGUAGCGCCUCGUGAAUUCAUCUCCGGGGGUAGAGCACUGUUUCGGCAAGGGGGUCAUCCCGACUUACCAACCCGAUGCAAACUGCGAAUACCGGAGAAUGUUAUCACGGGAGACACACGGCGGGUGCUAACGUCCGUCGUGAAGAGGGAAACAACCCAGACCGCCAGCUAAGGUCCCAAAGUCAUGGUUAAGUGGGAAACGAUGUGGGAAGGCCCAGACAGCCAGGAUGUUGGCUUAGAAGCAGCCAUCAUUUAAAGAAAGCGUAAUAGCUCACUGGUCGAGUCGGCCUGCGCGGAAGAUGUAACGGGGCUAAACCAUGCACCGAAGCUGCGGCAGCGACACUGUGUGUUGUUGGGUAGGGGAGCGUUCUGUAAGCCUGUGAAGGUGUACUGUGAGGUAUGCUGGAGGUAUCAGAAGUGCGAAUGCUGACAUAAGUAACGAUAAAGCGGGUGAAAAGCCCGCUCGCCGGAAGACCAAGGGUUCCUGUCCAACGUUAAUCGGGGCAGGGUGAGUCGACCCCUAAGGCGAGGCCGAAAGGCGUAGUCGAUGGGAAACAGGUUAAUAUUCCUGUACUUGGUGUUACUGCGAAGGGGGGACGGAGAAGGCUAUGUUGGCCGGGCGACGGUUUGUCCCGGUUUAAGCGUGUAGGCUGGUUUUCCAGGCAAAUCCGGAAAAUCAAGGCUGAGGCGUGAUGACGAGGCACUACGGUGCUGAAGCAACAAAUGCCCUGCUUCCAGGAAAAGCCUCUAAGCAUCAGGUAACAUCAAAUCGUACCCCAAACCGACACAGGUGGUCAGGUAGAGAAUACCAAGGCGCUUGAGAGAACUCGGGUGAAGGAACUAGGCAAAAUGGUGCCGUAACUUCGGGAGAAGGCACGCUGAUAUGUAGGUGAAGUCCCUCGCGGAUGGAGCUGAAAUCAGUCGAAGAUACCAGCUGGCUGCAACUGUUUAUUAAAAACACAGCACUGUGCAAACACGAAAGUGGACGUAUACGGUGUGACGCCUGCCCGGUGCCGGAAGGUUAAUUGAUGGGGUCAGCGCAAGCGAAGCUCUUGAUCGAAGCCCCGGUAAACGGCGGCCGUAACUAUAACGGUCCUAAGGUAGCGAAAUUCCUUGUCGGGUAAGUUCCGACCUGCACGAAUGGCGUAAUGAUGGCCAGGCUGUCUCCACCCGAGACUCAGUGAAAUUGAACUCGCUGUGAAGAUGCAGUGUACCCGCGGCAAGACGGAAAGACCCCGUGAACCUUUACUAUAGCUUGACACUGAACAUUGAGCCUUGAUGUGUAGGAUAGGUGGGAGGCUUUGAAGUGUGGACGCCAGUCUGCAUGGAGCCGACCUUGAAAUACCACCCUUUAAUGUUUGAUGUUCUAACGUUGACCCGUGAUCCGGGUUGCGGACAGUGUCUGGUGGGUAGUUUGACUGGGGCGGUCUCCUCCUAAAGAGUAACGGAGGAGCACGAAGGUUGGCUAAUCCUGGUCGGACAUCAGGAGGUUAGUGCAAUGGCAUAAGCCAGCUUGACUGCGAGCGUGACGGCGCGAGCAGGUGCGAAAGCAGGUCAUAGUGAUCCGGUGGUUCUGAAUGGAAGGGCCAUCGCUCAACGGAUAAAAGGUACUCCGGGGAUAACAGGCUGAUACCGCCCAAGAGUUCAUAUCGACGGCGGUGUUUGGCACCUCGAUGUCGGCUCAUCACAUCCUGGGGCUGAAGUAGGUCCCAAGGGUAUGGCUGUUCGCCAUUUAAAGUGGUACGCGAGCUGGGUUUAGAACGUCGUGAGACAGUUCGGUCCCUAUCUGCCGUGGGCGCUGGAGAACUGAGGGGGGCUGCUCCUAGUACGAGAGGACCGGAGUGGACGCAUCACUGGUGUUCGGGUUGUCAUGCCAAUGGCACUGCCCGGUAGCUAAAUGCGGAAGAGAUAAGUGCUGAAAGCAUCUAAGCACGAAACUUGCCCCGAGAUGAGUUCUCCCUGACCCUUUAAGGGUCCUGAAGGAACGUUGAAGACGACGACGUUGAUAGGCCGGGUGUGUAAGCGCAGCGAUGCGUUGAGCUAACCGGUACUAAUGAACCGUGAGGCUUAACCUU
rnacentral:rRNA from 1 species